AAGGUUGGCGAAGCGAUUGGUAGAACAAGAAGAGAAGCCCAAUACCAGGCUGCUGAAGGUUCACUUAGGCAUUUGCUUGGAUGCAUCUUUGUUGAAGGGAAUCGUUGUGCUUGGUUCUGGUCACUCCCAUUGAUGCUUGAGUGCUUCUCUUCACAGCCUUCAUU